rnacentral:rRNA from 1 species
UACGUAGGGUGCAAGCGUUGCCCGGAUUUAUUGGGCGUAAAGGGCGCGUAGGCGGCUCUGCACGUUCGUUGUGAAAUCGCCCGGCUCAACUGGGCGGGGUCAGCGGAUACGGCAGAGCUUGAGCAAGCUAGGGGGCAAUGGAAUUCCCGGUGUAGUGGUGGAAUGCGUAGAGAUGUGGAGGAACACCAGUGGCGAAGGCGACUUGCCAGAACGCGCUCGACGGUGAGGGAUGAAAGCUGGGGGAGCAAACCGG